UGGGGAAUAUUGGGCAAUGGGGGAAACCCUGACCCAGCAACGCCGCGUGAAGGAUGAAGUAUUUCGGUAUGUAAACUUCGAAAGAAUAGGAAGAAUAAAUGACGGUACUAUUUAUAAGGUCCGGCUAACUACGUGCCAGCAGCCGCGGUAAUACGUAGGGACCAAGCGUUGUUCGGAUUUACUGGGCGUAAAGGGCGCGUAGGCGGCAUGACAAGUCACUUGUGAAAUCUCUGGGCUUAACCCAGAACGGCCAAGUGAUACUGUCGCGCUAGAGUGCAGAAGGGGCAAUCGGAAUUCUUGGUGUAGCGGUGAAAUGCGUAGAUAUCAAGAGGAACACCUGUGGCGAAGGCGGCCAGCUGGACCAAUCCUGACACUGAGGCGCGACAGCGUGGGGAGCAAACAGGAUUAGAUACCCAAGUAGUCCCUGAGCGGGCUGGCAAGGCGCAU
rnacentral:rRNA from 1 species